AAAAACGAGAACUUAAAAUAAGAACUUCAGGUUACUAUUCAUCUUCUUACGUCCAUUUAUAAAAAAACGUUUUGACCCGAAAGUCGGAACUUAAAAAUUGGAAGUUUGUCACUUCGUCCCCUUCGAUAGCUUUUUCGCCGCCGAGCACCUCUCUCUUCGCCGCUGAGCACCCCUCUCUUCGCAGCUUCCCAUCUUCACCGCUGAGCACCCCUCUCUUCGCAGCAUGACCCCUGAGUUCAGCCACUGAGCCAGCCCUCUGUUCGCAGCACACUACGUCUUUAGGAAAACCCCUCGCUUUACAAGCAGCCCUAAUCCUUGAGCUCUAAUCCUUGCCAUAGAUCUUGAGGCCAUUUUGGCUGGGCAUGAUUUUGGAGGUGCUUGUAUAUCAUAUGCUAUGGAGGCUUUUCCACAAAAAGUUGCAAAGGGCUGUUUUUGUUGCUGCAACAAUGUUGACAAGUGGACAGAGUGCACUUGAUUUGUUCUCUCAACAGGAUAACUGCGGUUUCAUUUUGAGUGCUCAUCAGGAUCAACUCUGGAAGAUAUUGUAGUUGUGCUUAAACUUUCUUUUGUUACUUUGUAAGAAUUCGCCAUUGUAAAUUUGUCCUAAAAAGAGAUGUAUAUAUGUUUUGACUGUCACAUCUCAGGAAUAUCCGUAUUGUAAAUUCUUGGGACGUGACAUAUAUAGAUAUUGGAAAAUAAUUGUGACCAUGUAUAUUGAACAUUGUUCAACUUCUUGUUGCCUAUGAUGCAAGCAAACUUCUAUAUGCUUAAUAAUA